rnacentral:lncRNA from 1 species
UAUGUCAUCUCCAGGAUUUUCUUAAUACUGAGUGAGAAUCUGUUAUGACUGGAGACAUCUUGUUACCAGCAGAAGAGAUCCAGGUUACCCCAAGCUACUGUCGUGUAUCCAUGUGAAUCUGCAGCAACUUCAGCCCUUACCUCCUCGGGAAGAAGAAUUUGAUUGAGGAGCAUAAAGCAGAAAAAGAGACUGGGGCAAGUUCCAGAGCAGGAGUGGAAGGUUAUUAAAAAGGCUUUAGAACAGAAGCAAGACUGACCUCCUUGGACCAGACUUUCUGGACAAUUUGCUGGCAGAGGAAGAGACAACAAGAGGAAAAAAGUGGACUUCCUGCACAAGGAGAGACCAUGUGAACACACAGCAAGAACGUGGUGCUCUGCAAGUCAGAAACAGACCCUUCAUCAGACACCAAAUCAGCCAGCACCUUGAUCUAGGAUUUCUGGCCUCCAAAAUGGUGAGAAAAUACAUUUCUGUCGUUUAAGCCAUGGAGCCUGUUGU